rnacentral:rRNA from 1 species
AGUGCAUAUCCCAAAAGCGGAGGAAAAGAAACCAACAGGGAUUGCCUCAGUAACGGCGAGUGAAGCGGCAAAAGCUCAAAUUUGAAAUCCCCCCGGGGAGUUGUAAUUUGAAGAUUGCGUCUUGGAGGCGACCGUGUCUAUGUUCCUUGGAACAGGACGUCACAGAGGGUGAGAAUCCCGUGCGGCACGGCCCCCGGCUCCUUAUAAGGCGCUCUCGACGAGUCGAGUUGUUUGGGAAUGCAGCUCAAAGUGGGUGGUAAAUUCCAUCUAAAGCUAAAUACAGGCGAGAGACCGAUAGCGAACAAGUACAGUGAUGGAAAGAUGAAAAGCACUUUGAAAAGAGAGUGAAACAGCACGUGAAAUUGUUGAAAGGGAAGGGCAUGCCGUCAGAUUGUCAGUGUGGGUAAGAAGCGGGGUACAAAGACUGUGGAACGUGGCCCUCGGGUGUUAUAGCCGCAGUUCAUGCCCCGUCUCUUUCCGAGGCCUGCUUUGAGGACACCGACGUAAUGACGGUAGGCCGCCCGUCUUGAGCCACGGGACCAAACA